UACAUGCAAGUCGAGCGAAUGGAUUAAGAGCUUGCUCUUAUGAAGUUAGCGGCGGACGGGUGAGUAACACGUGGGUAACCUGCCCAUAAGACUGGGAUAACUCCGGGAAACCGGGGCUAAUACCGGAUAACAUUUUGAACCGCAUGGUUCGAAAUUGAAAGGCGGCUUCGGCUGUCACUUAUGGAUGGACCCGCGUCGCAUUAGCUAGUUGGUGAGGUAACGGCUCACCAAGGCAACGAUGCGUAGCCGACCUGAGAGGGUGAUCGGCCACACUGGGACUGAGACACGGCCCAGACUCCUACGGGAGGCAGCAGUAGGGAAUCUUCCGCAAUGGACGAAAGUCUGACGGAGCAACGCCGCGUGAGUGAUGAAGGCUUUCGGGUCGUAAAACUCUGUUGUUAGGGAAGAACAAGUGCUAGUUGAAUAAGCUGGCACCUUGACGGUACCUAACCAGAAAGCCACGGCUAACUACGUGCCAGCAGCCGCGGUAAUACGUAGGUGGCAAGCGUUAUCCGGAAUUAUUGGGCGUAAAGCGCGCGCAGGUGGUUUCUUAAGUCUGAUGUGAAAGCCCACGGCUCAACCGUGGAGGGUCAUUGGAAACUGGGAGACUUGAGUGCAGAAGAGGAAAGUGGAAUUCCAUGUGUAGCGGUGAAAUGCGUAGAGAUAUGGAGGAACACCAGUGGCGAAGGCGACUUUCUGGUCUGUAACUGACACUGAGGCGCGAAAGCGUGGGGAGCAAACAGGAUUAGAUACCCUGGUAGUCCACGCCGUAAACGAUGAGUGCUAAGUGUUAGAGGGUUUCCGCCCUUUAGUGGUGAAGUUAACGCAUUAAGCACUCCGCCUGGGGAGUACGGCCGCAAGGCUGAAACUCAAAGGAAUUGACGGGGGCCCGCACAAGCGGUGGAGCAUGUGGUUUAAUUUGAAGCAACGCGAAGAACCUUACCAGGUCUUGACAUCCUUUGACAACCCUAGAGAUAGGGCUUCUCCUUCGGGAGCAGAGUGACAGGUGGUGCAUGGUUGUCGUCAGCUCGUGUCGUGAGAUGUUGGGUUAAGUCCCGCAACGAGCGCAACCCUUGAUUUUAGUUGCCAUCAUUUAGUUGGGCACUUUAAGGUGACUGCCGGUGACAAACCGGAGGAAGGUGGGGAUGACGUCAAAUCAUCAUGCCCCUUAUGACCUGGGCUACACACGUGCUACAAUGGACGGUACAAAGAGCUGCAAGACCGCGAGGUGGAGCUAAUCUCAUAAAACCGUUCUCAGUUCGGAUUGUAGGCUGCAACUCGCCUACAUGAAGCUGGAAUCGCUAGUAAUCGCGGAUCAGCAUGCCGCGGGGAAUACGUUCCCGGGCCUUGUACACACCGCCCGUCACACCACGAGAGUUUGUAACACCCGAAGUCGGUGGGGUAACCUUUUUGGAGCCAGCCGCCUAAG
rnacentral:rRNA from 1 species